GGGUGGGAGGUCAGGGCGCGGCGGAGCGGCGGCUGCUGCCGGCGGAGGAGCGGGCGGCGGCCGGCGGGCAUGGAGCUGGGCGCGGUGCUGGAGGCCGUGGAGGGGCGCGGUAGCGCCGAGGCGGUGGAGCGGGUCCUGGCGCGGUACAACGAGGAGAAUAGGACCAUUUUCAGAUUUGAUCCAGAAGAUGAAGACAAAAGAAAGAAACUGUGUGAAGGAAUUCUAAACAUCCUUGAAAAGGACACAAAAACUUCAUGUCAAGUUGCCUGCCUGGAGGCCCUCCGGAUUCUCUCUAGGGACAAGAAGGUUUUAGUGCCUGUAACCACGAAGAGGAACAUGCAGAUCCUUAUGAGGCUAGCAAAGCUGGACAGUGUGGAAGAUCCUUUGGAGAGAGUGUCUGAAUUUCCUGUUAUAGUAGAAGCUUUAAAAUGCCUCUGUAACAUAAUUUUUAAUAGUGCUGUUGCACAGAAGCUCAGUUUGGAACUGAAUCUUGCAGCUAUGCUCUGUAGUCUUCUGGAGAAAUGCAAGGACCAACAGUUUGUUGAUGACAUUAAAUGCUUUGAUUUGCGUCUCCUCUUCCUCUUGUCGCUUCUGCACACGGAUAUUAGAUCACAGUUGCGUCGGGAACUACAAGGUGUGCAAGUUUUGACUCGGGCUUUGGAAAGCUCCCUCAGUGUAAGAUGGAUGGAAGAAUAUAAAGCAGCAGAAGAUCGUGGCAGGCCUCCUCUAUCUUUGCAAGAGACAGAUUGUGCCAUUGAGGCGCUAAAGGCUCUUUUUAAUGUAACGCUUGACAGUUGGAAUGUCCACAGCGAGAAUGAAUCUCAUCAAUUUCGUUACAUGGCUGCCAUCCUUCGACACUGCUUAUUAACCACGGGCCCUACUGAAGACAAAACUGAAGAGUUGCACAGCAAUGCAAUCAACCUCUUAAGCAACGUUCCUGUUUCCUGCUUGGAUGUUCUUACUAAUUCAUCAUCCCAAGAGGAAACAGAUAUAAAAUACAAUGGUAUGAAUAUGGGAGCAAUUCAAAUUUUACUGGAUUUCAUGGAGAAGAGAAUAGACAAGGGAAGCAGCUAUAGAGAAGGUCUGACUCCAGUUCUCAGUUUAUUAACUGAAUGCUGCCGAACUCAUAGGAAUAUCAGGAAGUUUAUCAAAGCUCAAGUAUUGCCUCCACUAAGAGAUGUAUCAAAUCGUCCAGAAGUUGGCACAACAGUGAGAAACAAGCUUGUACGCCUUAUGACACAUGUUGACCUUGGAGUAAAGCAAAUUGCAGCAGAAUUCCUUUUUGUUCUUUGUAAAGAGAGAGUUGACAGCUUGUUAAAAUAUACAGGCUAUGGUAAUGCAGCAGGACUGCUGGCAGCAAGGGGCUUGUUAGCAGGAGGAAGAGGAGAUCAUUGGUACUCGGAUGAUGAAGAUACAGAUACAGAAGAAUACAAAUCUGCAAAGCCAAACAUUAACCUUAUCACUGGUCACUUAGAAGAACCAAUGCCCAAUCCGAUGGAUGAAAUGACAGAAGAACAGAAAGAAUACGAAGCUAUGAAGCUUGUCAACAUGUUUGAUAAACUUUCCAGAGAUGAGCUUAUAAAACCAAUGGGAGUGCGGCCGGAUGGUACAAUGGCUCCUUUGGAAGAAGCAGUCAGCCAGUACCAUACCAACAAGCAAGACAGUUCAGAUUCAGACUAAAGCAUCACCUGCUUCACUCUCAAUUCUCCUCUAAUCCACACUUUUCCUUAGAGCCACAACAUCUUUUAUCUAGGCAUUUUACUCUCACAUUUAGCCAGCGUCACUUUAACUGUUCUAUUACUUGGGAUAUAUAAAUGAUGGGUCCGGUGGUGUAAUGUCUGAAUUUUUAUUAUGUCUGUUGAAAGAACAUAUCAAUUUUAUUAGUUGAUGAUUUUUAUUAAUUUAAAACUAAACGUAUUUCAAAGGGAUAAAAAGUGAAAGCCUACAAUGUAAAAUAAAACACAGAUGCUUUAAUUUUACAGAAUUCUGUUUUCUAAACUCUGUAGGUUUUCCCAUUCUUGAAAUUUUAUUUUUUUGUAUUGUCUUGCUAGUCUCUCCCUUUCUAUAAUUGUAAUUAAAGAAGGUGUUUGCUUGAUGGCAUUAGGAGCAGAGGGUGUUUAAACUCAGAAGUCUGACUGACUUAUGAAGCUGCUUUAAAUGGCAUUCAGCUGCAAUUUCAGAGAUUUUUAAAGUGUCAUUGGAUUUCUUACUGCUAAACACUUCUGUGGUUAAACUGCUGCUUAAGAUUUUACCAAUGUGUCAAGUCACUGACUGCUGCUAAAAUUACCUUUAAAUUGGGAACAAGAUGAGGUAUGAUGAAUGUCCUCCCUACCUCCCCUCCCCCAUUAUGACCACAUGAAUAUACCUCCCCCUCCCAUCUUUGGUUAAGUAAAAACAUCCCUAUUCAAAACAGCAUUCAAGUAUGUACACUUAAAUGUUGUCAUGAAUGGGAGCGGACUAAAGUGAAGUGCACGUGCAAGCGUUUUACUGAAUUGGGGCCUACUUUUGCAGAUUAAUGGCUGUGCCUCACUUGAAGGGAAGUCAAACUGAUCAACAAAUAUUUCCUUUCAGGGAGAACUUAGAAAGCGAUGGGAUAGAGAGGGGAAUUUGGGAAGGAGAAGAAAGUCACUUUCAACCCUGUACUCUCGUAAAACAAAGAUUAAAGUUUUAGAAGCGUCCACAUGCUACUCCUUGUGAACCUUUCAGAGGCUGGUGAAAGUUUCCCUGUUUUUCCUAUGACUUGAGACUGGUUCCCUGAACUAAGAAAGCUGCUGUUCAAAGACCUUGUAAAGGGAGGACUUGGUAUGAAAUCAUGCUGCGGUUUCCCGUAGAGGAGCUUGUACAGAUCUCCUUAGUCUUCUGAAAGGACUAAAAGGAAAUAAUGCACUGCUGUCCUCUCAGCAGUUCAGUUUGUUUUCCCAAAAGACGCUGCCUAGCCAUACCAAUGCACCUUUUUUUUAAAAAAAAAAUGGGGGGGAGGGGACAGACAGACCCUUAGGGACAUUAAUUGUAUACAUUUCUUCAUGCUGGGACCUUUCUGAAUCUUAAAAUAAUUGAUGCUUUGGGUUAUGAUGUGAUCGGGGCUAUAUUGUCUGCUGCGUUCCACAUGGAGCAUGACAAUUUGCGUAGGGAGAAAAGGAAGCCAGCUACUGUUCCCACGUAGCAACAGCUAAAGCAAACCCCACCAAUGUAUUGAUAAUACUCUAAUCAUGCCAAUUAUGUAUGAAUCCAAAAGAGGGAAGGAAGAAUUGCCUAGGAGCAAGAAAAACACUUAGCUGCUUCUAAGCUGGGUCUCAGAAAUGUAAUUUUGGGUCUAACAUCAUCCACUGACUACUUUGAGCCCAGCACAGGCAAGUAUUAAGUACACUGCAAGCGCAAAGAAUUUAUGAACCCUCCCCAAGAAGCAAAACUUAACUAGCUCUGUUAAUAAGGAGUUGAGUCCUGUCCAGAUACUGGCUGAGGCUGUUCCUUGGGGCUGGAGAAGCAGUUGUUUCAGUAAUAGGCUUUUGUAUGGGUUGCUAUAGGGGGUUGAGUACGGAGCAAGAAAAAGAGCAAAAUGUCAAAUUUGUUGUUUUACAAGGUGUAGUAUAUGCUCCUACAAUUAGCUGGCUAAAGAUAUUAAUAAAACAGUAAUGGCUCCAGAGACCUCAUUAGAAAUGGUGUAGCGUGAGGCUUUUGUGGUCUGGCUGCUGUCAAUUGCAACAGGGCAACAAUAGUUGCAAUAAACAGUUCUUCUGUUUAGUUUAUCUUGGAAAAUAUGUGCUCAUAGUAGAUUUUACAGACAUGAGAUGCUGCUGCAAUUAAAAAGAAAGAAAAUGAAGACCAAGCAUAAGAGGAUUCAGGCACAACCUUCUAGCUCAAGAGUGAUUUUCAUAAUUGGGUUGCCUGUAGUGCAGGUUGAUCUAGUUAAAUGAAUAAUUUCUAUUAGUGCAGUAUCCUAAAGCAUCUCUUGUUCCAAGAUGAUAGUUUGUGGAAGGGGUGCUGCAAGAUUUUUGGCUUAUCUUGGAAAUGUAACGGGUCCAUCCUUAGCUGCACUGGCUGGAGAUCUGGGAAAAUCUCAGGACGAUGUUCCUCCAACACAACAGUGCAUCUGCUUCCUUGUGUGCUAUAUGAUGUUUUCUCUUCAAGGUAACCAUGCAGAAGUUAAGGUUUCUCUUGGAUGAGAGUCGGGAGAAAAGUAGAGUAUUUGGUGAUUUAAAAAACAAAAAAGCUCCCUGGACUUUGUAUUUACUGUGAAAUCAGGAUUUGCUCCUGAGGUUAUUUUCAAAGUUGAACCUCCAAAAUUGGAGGCUUGGGUGACUGAAACUUAACUUAAACCAGCAAACUGGGCAGUGAACCUGACCAGUUUUUGGAAUGCCAUCUCUUUCCAACAGAGUGCGGAGGUGCUGCAUCUGCGUUUGAGUGUCUAAAUUCCUGUCUGAUGUGAGCAUGAGAAUCUGCUGCAACCUGUAAUGUUUUAAUACCUAGUAAUCUCAAGCCUGGAGAGGUGUGACUGCCUCUGCUAGCAGUAGUUCUGAUAGAGUCACCAUAUAUGUAUUUGACUAUGCAUUUCAUUCCACAUGGUGUGAGCUAUCCUGUGUUAUAUGAAAUAAUGAUAUUUGAUUAUAUAUGCUUUCAUUUUUCCUCCGAAACACUUGAGUAUAGUUGACUAAGAAAAUACUGUAAUCAGAAAAAGGAACCCUUCUGAUAGAUUUUCUGGUGCUGACUGUAAAGGCCAGCAGGUUUCAGAGACAUGUACCUUUCAUUCCCAAAACCUUUCACAGUCAGUCCCAAAUACAAAAAAGUGUGUUUCAAUCUUUAUUUUGGUAUCAACAGGCCAGAGUAACACAGUUCUCAUUAAAGCUUGUCAAUGAUUUGGAAGCUUUGCUUUUCUUUGUUUCCCAUUAGAGUUAUGAAACAAAAGAUGAUGGGAAAUUGCUGAAAUUGGUCAGAAUAAUUUGUUCUUUUGCAAAAUAAUGCAGAUGCAUUUGUUUAAAUGCUCAUGAAAACUUCCUGGCAGGUAUUCUCAAAUACUAAUUGAAACUUUAUGUGCCCAAAAAGUGGUUUUCAGGAAAAAAGGACAUUUACAAUCUGUUAAAAAUGUUGUUGUGAGAAAAUUACCAGAACUUUAAAGAAAUUUGCCAAAGAGGAAAACCACAUUAGCUUCGAUGUUUUGAAUAUAGAACACUGCUGUAUAUGUGUGUGGCCAAAGUAGAUUUUUCACCGUAUAUCUGGAGUUUUUCCAAGUUCCUGAAAAUCUGCAAUGGCUUUUAAAAAAGAGUGAGCACAUAACUGGGCAAGAGUGUAUUUCUGUUACAGUUCUUCAAGCAGCCUCUACCUGGGUGAAAAAUUGGUUGUCAGAGGUGGCUUUAAGGAAGAGAAUAUUACAGACAAGCCGUCCUAUUAGUUGGUUGCCAAGCACCCUAGUCCGAAAGAGGAAAGUAAACCCCAAAGCAUACAAGAUCCCCAGUCUCCUGAAGGAGCGUUCCACAACAUUGUCCUUCACCUUAUUACCACAAAACAGCUAAUAAAAUCCUGUGCUUUAAUAAGG